rnacentral:lncRNA from 10 species
UCAAGAGCAGGCUGGAGAAUAUGGUGAAACCCAUCUUUACAAAGAAUACAAAACAUUAGCCAGGCAUGUUCCUUUGCCCCUAUAGUCCCAACUGCUCAGGAGGCUUAGGUGCGAGGAUUGGCUCAGAUGAUCCUCCCACUCAUUCACUUUUCUCAGGCUAGACUCUCUCUCGUUUUCAUUGCCUUGUCUUAGCUGUUAAUAAGAAGUCUCUGGCCAGGGUCGCUGGCUCACAUCUGUAAUCCGACAACUUUGGGAGGGUAAGGUUGGCGGAUCACCUGAGGUCAGGAGUUCGAAAGCAGCCUGGCCAACAUGGCAAAAUUGCAUCUCUACUAAAAAUACAAAAAAUAGCUGGCAUGGUGGUUUGUGCCUGUAAUCCCAGCUACUUGGGAAGCUGAGCCACGAAAAUCACUUGAACCCAGGAGGUACAGGUUGCAGUGAGCUGAGAUCGUGCCACUGCACUCCAGCCUGGGCGACAGAGUGAGACUCCCUCUCAAACAAAACAUAAAAAACCAAAACCAACCAACCAGUCAAACGAAAAAUUUAAUGAAACAAAAAACAAUCUCUUGAGCUACACAGAAACAUUGGCCUCUCAUGGGGUAAAAAGCUCAGAGCCCAGCCUUGCUUUAUGGAAACUUCUAAGCAAGAAAAGGGUGGAAGUGUUUGUGUCCUGAUUUCAAGGUGACUGCGUAGCUCAGACACGUUGACUUAAAGGAGAUCAAGAGUGGAGAUGAGAAGAGUGAAACCAGGGAAACAGCAUCUUCAAAUCAGUGGACGAGGCUGUCAGUGACAUCCCUCAGUCCUGAUUCAACCUAUUUGAUUUCACCAGUUAUUAACCCAUCAUGUGUUUGGAUUUUUUCUCCCCAGUCCCUGGCUCCACCUCUUCUGCCACAAACAUCAGCAUGGUGGUAUCUGCUGGUCCUUGGCCAAGUGAGAAGUCAGAGAUGAACACUCCAGAAAUCAACGAGAAACUGCGCCCGCAGUUGGGAGAAAAGAAAGAACAGUUUAGAAACACUAGAGAGAAAUUUCUUGUAACUCAAGUGGCCUACUUCCUGGCCAACCAGCAGAACGGUUAUAACUAUGAAGAGUGCAAAGACCUCCUAAAAUCUAUGCUGCGGGAUGAGCUUCAGUUGAAGGAGGAGAAGCUUGCAGAGCAGCUCGGGCAAGCUGAAGAGCUCAGGCAAUAUAAAGUCCUGGUUCAGUCUCAGGAACGAGAGCUGAGCCAGUUAAGGGAGAAGUUGCGGGAAGGGAGAGAUGCCUCCCGCGCAUUGAAUCAGCAUCUCCAGACCCUCCUCACUCCGGAUGAGCCGGCCAACUCCCAGAGGUGGGAAUUCCGAGAACAGCUGGCCGAGGGCUGUAGGCUGGCACAGCACCUCGUCCGAAAGCUCACCACAGGUAAGGUUUCCAUAGGACCUGGAGACCCAAAACCCCAGGCUUAUGAGAGACUCCCGACCUCCAUACUUUCACAAUGACAGUUGUAUCGGUGAUGUUUUCUCCCACUAAACAUAUGUGGCCCUUCCAGGACUUCCUGGGUGAGAUCAGAGAUGGGAAACCCAUGGGUUUGGAGGUCACAGUAUUGCAAAUGUCCCUCCUUCCUUGGUGGAGAUCGUCUUUGGAGCAAGAGGCAGCAUCUCUGUAGUGGUAAAGGAGAGGAAGGAGGCUGUGACAGGAGGGUUCUUGUUAGAGUGAAAAGAGCUGUAGACUUAGAAUGAAGGUUCCCAGGCUGUCUCCUUGGCAGUGUUCUUAGCAACUGUCGGUGAGUGAGUAAUUUAUCCUUCUUGAGUUUCUCUGUGUCCAUCAGAAAAGGCAGGCAAAUUCUCUCUUGCAAGGGUCUGAAGCAUCUAAAUGUGGGAACAGUUAGGACUGCUUUUGAAAAUGAGAUAAAGCCCCUCGCCAUGUGGUGUUGGAAAAGGCACUUGACGUGCGGGUAUUUGGUUGUAGGAAGUGCUUCAGACUGGAGCACUCCCCAUGGAGAGCAUGUCCCUGAAUAACACAGCAGAAGCCACAUGGAGGGCCUGUGAAGUCUCCUGAGGCAUAGAGGACUGUCGGGCAAGUUUGUCCGCUCCAAAGGGAAAGAAUUAGGUUCCAAAUGCGAACUGUGACACAACACCAAGUCUGUGCCUGGGAAUCAGAUCUGUGGCGGGAUGCGGGAGACAGCUUCCAAAGUCCAGAGAGAGGCUGCACAAGUCUCCAGUGAUAUGCGGAGCAAAGGGUCUUUUCAAUAUUUGGUGACAUCUUGAUGGUGGCCCUCCAGAUCAGAAAUGCAUUGCCUGAUGGAUCAGGAAACCAUGCCAGGGCAUUUUGUUAAAGAUAAAACAUGAGAGCUUUCAGUUUAACGGUGUCUCAUGCCUAGAUGUCCAUGUCUGUGUGCACAUUGGACUGACUGUGCCUGCAGAGUGUGAAGUGGGAAAUAUCUGAACGAACACUUCUGUAUUUACAGAAAAUGAUGAAGGUGAGGAUGAAGAUGUUAAAGUUGAUGACACUGAGUAAGUACAGGAAUCACGUGCCCCAGGUAACACUGAAUAAUCAGGUGCAAGUAAUGGGUUUUAAUAUAUGAAAAAGGUCUAGGAGGUACACCCUGUCUCUGGCAUCUACAAUGGGCCAAAAGCCUACAUUCCCUUGGCCACAGUAUGAGAAAUUCAACCCAGCUUAGACACAGGAUGUGGCAGCUGUUGUGUUUCUCUGUGUGGUGAGUGUCAUAUCUGUACCAAACAGGGAUAGCUGAGUCUUCAUCUUUCUCAGCUCCUAUCUCUCCAGGGAAAUGAACACCGGUUGGUCUCUUCCUCUCUGUCUCCCAUGGCCGCCAUGCUCUGUUGCAGAGAGAAGAGGAUUGCCUGUUCCCUCCUAAAGGGAACCUCCUGCUUUCUGUGACCACUGUCUUAAUGCCUCCCAUCAAAACCUGCUAGGUCUCCCUGGGGUCCGAUCCCUCUGUAUUUAAUCUUCUGGCAUCUCUAUCUCACCUCAUCAGGGAGGUGCGGAAGGCAGAAGAAAAGGAAGUCCCUGAGGACUCAGUGGAGGAAUGUGCCAUCACUUGUUCAAAUAGCUAUGGCCCUUCUGAGUCCAAUCAGCCUCACAAGAACUCCGAAGUCACAUUUAAGGAAGACCAAAUGGACUUGACUCUGCUUAUAGACCGUGAAUCGUCUCCUGAUGUACGGCAGGAUGCUCUAAACCUUGUCGCAGGUAGCCUCUAUUUUCCUUGUGUCUCAUACCUCUGUCUAGACUACGGAAGAUCCAUUGUGAGGACAGGCUAUAUACGUACAUAUUGGUUUGCUCAGCAACUAGGAUGGAGCUAGGUGCGGUGACUCACACAUAUAUUCGCAGCACUUUGGGAGGCCCAAGUGGGAGGAUCAUUUGAAUUCAGGAGUUCAAGAGCAGGCUGGACAAUAUGGUGAAACCCAUCUUUACAAUGAAUACAAAACAUUAGCCAGGCAUGUUCCUUUGCCCUUAUAGUCCUAUCUGCUCAGGAGGCUUAGAUGCGAGGAUUGGCUCAGAUGAUCCUCCCACCCUAAUUCACUUUUCUCAGGCUAGACUCUCUCCUUUUCAUUGGCUUGUCUUAGCUGUUAAUAAGAAGUCUCUGGCCAGGGUCGCUGGGCUCACAUCUGGAAUCCCAGCACUUUGGGAGGACAAGGUGGGUGGAUCACCUGAGGUCAGGAGUUCGAAAGCAGCCUGGCCAACAUGGUGAAAUUGCAUCUCUACUAAAAAUACAAAAAAUAGCUGGCAUGGUGGUUGGUGCCUGUACUGCCAGCUACUUGGGAGGCUGAGGCAUGAGAAUCACUUGAACCCAGGAGGCAGAGGUUGCAGUGAGCUGAGAUCGUGCCACCAGCCUGGGCGACACAGUGAGACUCCCUCUCAAACAAAACAUAAAAAACCAAAACCAACCAACCAAUCAAACAAAAAAAUUAACGAAAC